CCUACGGGUGGCUGCAGUGAGGAAUAUUGGUCAAUGGGCUUACGCCUGAACCAGCCAAGUCGCGUGAGGGAAGACUGCCCUAUGGGUUGUAAACCUCUUUUGUCAGGGAGCAACGCCGGCUACGUGUAGCCGGACUGAGAGUACCUGAAGAAAAAGCAUCGGCUAACUCCGUGCCAGCAGCCGCGGUAAUACGGAGGAUGCGAGCGUUAUCCGGAUUUAUUGGGUUUAAAGGGUGCGUAGGCGGUCAGGUAAGUUAGAGGUGAAAGCUCGAUGCGCAACAUCGAAACUGCCUCUGAUACUGUCUGACUAGAGUGUAGUUGCGGAAGGCGGAAUGUGUGGUGUAGCGGUGAAAUGCUUAGAUAUCACACAGAACACCGAUUGCGAAGGCAGCUUUCCAAGCUAUUACUGACGCUGAGGCACGAAAGCGUGGGGAGCGAACAGGAUUAGAUACCCUUGUAGUC
rnacentral:rRNA from 1 species